CCUUCGUCACUCUGGUUCUUGGCCCUUAUCUUUCCAGGUCAACGAACAGCGUGCGCAUGGUUCAAAUUUCCCGGAAGUGGAGGCUUGGGGGGAUACACAUGUCAAUUAUGGAAACCAGUUGGCUGAUGAUAUUUAUGUAAGUAUUUCGUUCUAAAUUUUGAUUUCAAAUUUCAUUGUACUAAAAAAUAUUUAAAUUAUGAUUGAUGAUCUUAAUUGAGUUAUCUUAUUUAUUUUUGUAGGCUUCUAUGUUGUAGAAGAAGGAUGACUACCUUGCCAACCUUUCUCAACAGCAGCAGACACACAAUGGAGUAGCUGACACCUGAUCUAGAGUUGUCUGUACAGUUGUUGAUAGACGGGGUUGGUUGACGGAAUGGUAAAGAAUUAUGCGGCCUAGGAGCAAGUUGGAUUUGGGACCUCGGGGGAUCUAGCUCUCAUUUUCCAAGAGCGACGUCUUCUAAACUAUAACAGU
rnacentral:lncRNA from 1 species